GCUGGUUGAUCCUGCCAGUAGCAUAUGCUUGUCUCAAAAAUUAAGCCAUGCACGUAGUACACAUGGCCGGUACAGUGAAACUGCGAAUGGCUCAUUAAAUCAGUUAUGUUUACUUUGAUCGAUCCAUCUGUUACUUGGAUAACUGUUGUAAUUCUAGAGCUAAUACAUGCCGACGAGUGCUGACCUCCCGGGAUGCAUGCAUUUAUCAGACCAAGACCAAUCCGGGCUUGCCCGUACGCUUUGGUGACACUAGAUAACCUCGGGCUGAUCGCACGUCUACGUGCUGACGAAGAUGCAUUUGGAUGUCUGCCCGAUCAACUUUUGCUGGUACUUUCCCUGCCUACAAUGGUGACCAUGGGUAAAUGGGAAUCAGGGUUCGAUUCCAGAGAGGGAGCCUGAGAAAUGGAUACCACAUCCAAGGGAGGCAGCAGGCGUGCAAAUUACCCAAUCCCGACUCGGGGAGGUAGUGAUGAAAAAUAACAAUACAGGACUCUUUCGAGGCCGUGUAAUUUUAAUGAGUAGACUUUAAAUCGUUUAACGAGGAUCCAUUGGAGGGCAAGUCUGGUGCCAGCAGCCUUGGUAAUUCCAGCUCCAAUAGCGUAUAUUAAAGUUGCUGCAGUUAAAAAGCUUGUACUUGGAUCUUAGAAUCGAGCUGGCAGUCCGCCGUGAGGCGAGCUACCGCCUGUCCCAGCCCCUGCCUCUCAUUGCCCCCUUCAUGCUCUUGACUGAGUGUCCUGGGGGUCCAAAUCGUUUACUUUAAAAAAAUGUUGUUGGUUUUCGGAACUAGGGCCAUGAUUAAGAGGGAUGGCUGGCAGCAUUAGUAGUGUGCCACUAGAAGUGAAAUUCUUGGACCGGCGCAAGCCGAACCAAAUCAAAAGCAUUUGCCAAGAAGGUUUUCAUUAAUCAAGCACGAAAGUCAGAGGUUCGAAGACGAUCAGAUACUGUUGUAGUUCCGACCAUAAACAAUGCCGACUAGUGAUCUGGCUGCAUUAUUCCCAUGACCCGCCGAGCAGCUUCCAGGAAACCAAAGUCUUUGGGUUCCGGGGAGAGUAUGGUUGCAAAGCUGAAACUUGAAGGAAUUGACGGAAGGGCACCACCAGGAGUGGUGCCUGUGGCUUAAUUUGACUCAACACAGGAAACCUCACCGGGCCCGGACACGGAAAGGAUUGACAGAUUGAUAGCUCUUUCUGGAUUCUGUGGCUGGUGGUGCAUGGCCGUUUUUAGUUGGUGGAGCGAUUUGUCUGGUUAAGUCCGAUAACGAAUGAGGCUCCUCCAUGCUAACUAGUCACGUGACCCCCAGCGGUCAGCGUUCAAGUUCUUAGAGGGACAAGUGGUGUUCAGUCAUACCAGAUCGAGCAAUAACAGGUCUGUGAUGCCCUUAGAUGUCCAGGGCUGAACACACGCUACACUGAAUGGAUCAGCGUGUGUCUACCCUUCGCCCACCGGUGCGGUUAACAUGCUGAACCCUGUUUGUGGUAGGGAUUGGGGAUUGCAAUUAUUUCCCAUGAAUGCAGAAUUCCCAGUAACUGCAGGACAUAAGCUUGCGUUAAGUCUCUGCCCUUUGUACACACCGCCCGUUGCUAAUACCUAUUGGAUGGUUCAGUGAGGUCCUCGGAUCGGCCCGCCAAAUUUUCUGCCAAUUGAAUAGGUUUUAUCAGUGAACAUGUUUCAUAAUGUUGCAUCACUAUAUAUAAGUUAUUAACAAUUCAUC
rnacentral:rRNA from 1 species